AUUACUCCUACGGGAGGCAGCAGUGGGGAAUAUUGCACAAUGGGGGAAACCCUGACGCAGCCAUGCCGCGUGUGUGAAGAAGGCCUUCGGGUUGUAAAGCACUUUCAGUAGGGAGGAAGGGUUGAUGUCUAAUACGCAUCAACAUUGACGUUACCUACA
rnacentral:rRNA from 1 species